CCUACGGGGGGCAGCAGUGGGGAAUAUUGCACAAUGGGCGCAAGCCUGAUGCAGCCAUGCCGCGUGUGUGAAGAAGGCCUUCGGGUUGUAAAGCACUUUCAGCGGGGAGGAAGGCGUUAAGGUUAAUAACCUUGUCGAUUGACGUUACCCGCAGAAGAAGCACCGGCUAACUCCGUGCCAGCAGCCGCGGUAAUACGGAGGGUGCAAGCGUUAAUCGGAAUUACUGGGCGUAAAGCGCUCGCAGGCGGUCUGUCAAGUCGGAUGUGAAAUCCCCGGGCUCAACCUGGGAACUGCAUUCGAAACUGGCAGGCUAGAGUCUUGUAGAGGGGGGUAGAAUUCCAGGUGUAGCGGUGAAAUGCGUAGAGAUCUGGAGGAAUACCGGUGGCGAAGGCGGCCCCCUGGACAAAGACUGACGCUCAGGUGCGAAAGCGUGGGAGCAAACAGGAUUAGAUACCCGGGUAGUC
rnacentral:rRNA from 1 species